GUACGCAGCAUCGCUGAAGAAGCAAGCUUUUAAAUGACUCUUUCUCUAAUGUGCCCUGACCAAAGUAUUCUGUACUGCGAAGAACCCUGACCUGUCUACUCACCGACGGAGUCCUAAAGAAUGCAGCAUUGCUGGUGAAACUCACUGCCCGAGUCUUGAAGAGAGCCGCCCUAUUGGUGAAGUCGCUGUCAGGGUGAAACUGAUGUACGAUCAGUACCUAUCCGUAGCUGAAGACCUAGAGGACACUGAAGUCUAUCACGCUUGUGCUCACUGAUAUAUUGUGCUCAAUAAAGAUUGUUAUCCCUUUGAAGUUACCUCUUGUCUGCGUUGUCCAUCUGUUUGCGGACCUGUGGUGUCGGCUCCUCACGGUGGGGUCUAAGUUAGGGGUGGCUGGUCAUCCGAGUCCACCCCGGUGACAUUCACCCAAAAACAUAUGGUGAAAAAUGUAUUCACCCUCAAGUCAUUCAACUUUGCUUCUUGAUCCACAAGUAAACCACACUGGACUAGAAUCUUUUAUUUUAAGGAAUAUCAUACAGCCAAGUUAAAUUUUCAUCCAUGUUUGAAUUUAUACAGUUCUGUUGUGCAGCAUCUUAUUUGACUAAAUAAUUGGUGUGUCCCUGAGAUAUGAUUAUUUCAACUAUCCUUGUGUUUAUAUGAUCUCUCUGUCUGUGUAUAAACACGUUUGUGCUCCAGAGGGGUGUGUUCUCCAUUAACUAGCCGGUGGUGGUGAUUGUUCCUGCUAAGCACCUUAAUGCCUUACUGGUUUUGUGCCAUUGUGUUUUGCCUUCAUUCUGAUUGAUUGUGUUUUUCUCUGCCAUUGUUCGUUGAGUCAUCAUUUGAUUUGUGAAAAGAGUGUUGUACCAGAGAGAUAUAUGAGUGAUGUAACAUGUAGUCAAGUAUAGUAUACCAUACUCUGAAUUUGUGCUCUGCAUUUAACCCAUCCAAGUGCACACACACAGCAGCGAGUAGUGAACACACACACACCGUGAACACACCUGGAACAGUGGGAAGCCAUGUGCUGCGGGGAGCAGUUGGGGGUUCGGUGCCUUGCACAAGGGUCUCACCUUAGUUGUUGUAUUGAGGGUGGAAGAGAGUGCUGGACAUUCACUCCCCCUCACCUACAAUCCCUGUCGGUACCUUUUGGGUUACAAGUCCAACUCUCUAACCAUUAGGCCACGGCUGCCUAUUGAGUGUAGUGAAACUGUGCCUGUUUGACUACGACUUGGAUUCCGAUUUUCAUUUGUAUUCACUGCAAGACUUUGUAAAUACCUUUGUAAAUAAUCUUGUAAAUACACUUUGCCAAAUUAAGGGACAUAGGGGAUUAGAUGCCAUUUUAUUUGUAUAUCUUUUUCACAUUUUUUAUGUUUGAUGGAGUUAGGGAAGCUAACUUGUAUUUUGUUUUCUUUAUUUUUGUUUGAGGUAAGGUAUAGCUGCUAAAAUAAGUUUGUUUUGUUUAUUGUUUUGACCUUGUCUGCCCCUCAAUAUUUCCAAUUAAAGAAAAUAAAGUUUUGUUUAUUCGGCA